rnacentral:rRNA from 1 species
GAUGAACGCUGGCGGCGUGCCUAAUACAUGCAAGUCGAGCGAACGGACGAGAAGCUUGCUUCUCUGAUGUUAGCGGCGGACGGGUGAGUAACACGUGGAUAACCUACCUAUAAGACUGGGAUAACUUCGGGAAACCGUAGCUAAUACCGGAUAAUAUUUUGAACCGCAUGGUUCAAAAGUGAAAGACGGUCUUGCUGUCACUUAUAGAUGGAUCCGCGCUGCAUUAGCUAGUUGGUAAGGUAACGGCUUACCAAGGCAACGAUGCAUAGCCGACCGGAGAGGGUGAUCGGCCACACUGGAACUGAGACACGGUCCAGACUCCUACGGGAGGCAGCAGUAGGGAAUCGUCGGCAAUGGGCGAAAGCCUGACGGAGCAACGCCGCGUGAGUGAUGAAGGUCUUCGGAUCGUAAAACCGUGUUAUUAGGGAAGAACAUAUGUGUAAGUAACUGUGCACAUCUUGACGGUACCUAAUCAGAAAGCCACGGCUAACUACGUG